UGACCUCGGAUCAGGUAGGGAUACCCGCUGAACUUAAGCAUAUCAAUAAGCGGAGGAAAAGAAACCAACAGGGAUUGCCCCAGUAACGGCGAGUGAAGCGGCAAGAGCUCAAAUUUGAAAGCUGGCUCCUUCGGGGUCCGCAUUGUAAUUUGCAGAGGAUGCUUCGGGAGCGGUCCCCAUCUAAGUGCCCUGGAACGGGACGUCAUAGAGGGUGAGAAUCCCGUAUGGGAUGGGGUGUCCGCGCCCGUGUGAAGCUCCUUCGACGAGUCGAGUUGUUUGGGAAUGCAGCUCUAAAUGGGUGGUAAAUUUCAUCUAAAGCUAAAUAUUGGCCGGAGACCGAUAGCGCACAAGUAGAGUGAUCGAAAGAUGAAAAGCACUUUGAAAAGAGAGUUAAAAAGCACGUGAAAUUGUUGAAAGGGAAGCGCUUGCGACCAGACUCGCUCGCGGGGUUCAGCCGGCAUUCGUGCCGGUGUAUUUCCCCGCGGGCGGGCCAGCGUCGGUUUGGGCGGUCGGUCAAAGGCCCUCGGAAGGUAACGCCCCUAGGGGCGUCUUAUAGCCGAGGGUGCAAUGCGACCUGCCUAGACCGAGGAACGCGCUUCGGCUCGGA
rnacentral:rRNA from 1 species